AAUCCAUGCAUCAGACUUUUUUGAAUUAAAUCUUUGAAUCGUUCCCUAACUUCAUAUGGUGUUUCAUCCUCCAAUUACUGAAAAGUUGUGAUGUCAUUUCUAAGAUA
rfam:Gossypium arboreum cultivar AKA8401 contig_381_1, whole genome shotgun sequence.